AGAGUUUGAUCAUGGCUCAGAAUCAACGCUGGCGGCGUGCCUAACACAUGCAAGUCGAACGAGAAAGUCCCGCAAGGGAUGAGUAAAGUGGCGCACGGGUGAGUAACACGUAGCUAACCUGCCCUCGAGUGGGGGAUAACCUGGGGAAACUCGGGCUAAUACCGCAUAACGUCCUGGCUGCGCAAGCAGCGGGGAUCAAAGGCCCGCAAGGGUCACUUGAGGAGGGGGCUGCGGCCGAUUAGCUAGUUGGUGAGGUAAUGGCCCACCAAGGCUAUGAUCGGUAGCCGGCCUGAGAGGGCGCACGGCCACACUGGCACUGAAACACGGGCCAGACUCCUACGGGAGGCAGCAGUGGGGAAUUUUGCACAAUGCCCGAAAGGGUGAUGCAGCAACGCCGCGUGAGGGAUGAAGGCCUUCGGGUCGUAAACCACUGUCGAAGGGGAAAAUAAUGAUGGUACCCUUGGAGGAAGCCCCGGCUAACUACGUGCCAGCAGCCGCGGUAAUAC
rnacentral:rRNA from 1 species